UGGACCGGCGGUGACUGGCGUUGAACGUGGGGAACCACGGGGAAGCCGCUUCGGGAAUUUCAAUGGAUCGCACGCCUGGGUCGGACAC
rfam:Deinococcus maricopensis DSM 21211, complete genome.